rnacentral:rRNA from 1 species
GAUUAAGUUAUUAAGGGCGCACGGUGGAUGCCUUGGCACUAGAAGCCGAUGAAGGACGUUACUAACGACGAUAUGCUUUGGGGAGCUGUAAGUAAGCUUUGAUCCAGAGAUUUCCGAAUGGGGAAACCCAGCAUGAGUUAUGUCAUGUUAUCGAUAUGUGAAUACAUAGCAUAUCAGAAGGCACACCCGGAGAACUGAAACAUCUUAGUACCCGGAGGAAGAGAAAGAAAAUUCGAUUCCCUUAGUAGCGGCGAGCGAAACGGGAAGAGCCCAAACCAACAAGCUUGCUUGUUGGGGUUGUAGGACACUCUAUACGGAGUUACAAAGGACGACAUUAGACGAAUCAUCUGGAAAGAUGAAUCAAAGAAGGUAAUAAUCCUGUAGUCGAAAAUGUUGUCUCUCUUGAGUGGAUCCUGAGUACGACGGAGCACGUGAAAUUCCGUCGGAAUCUGGGAGGACCAUCUCCUAAGGCUAAAUACUCUCUAGUGACCGAUAGUGAACCAGUACCGUGAGGGAAAGGUGAAAAGCACCCGGAAGGGGAGUGAAAUAGAACCUGAAACCGUGUGCUUACAAGUAGUCAGAGCCCGUUAAUGGGUGAUGGCGUGCCUUUUGUAGAAUGAACCGGCGAGUUACGAUUUGAUGCAAGGUUAAGCAGUAAAUGUGGAGCCGUAGCGAAAGCGAGUCUGAAUAGGGCGUUUAGUAUUUGGUCGUAGACCCGAAACCAGGUGAUCUACCCUUGGUCAGGUUGAAGUUCAGGUAACACUGAAUGGAGGACCGAACCGACUUACGUUGAAAAGUGAGCGGAUGAACUGAGGGUAGCGGAGAAAUUCCAAUCGAACCUGGAGAUAGCUGGUUCUCUCCGAAAUAGCUUUAGGGCUAGCCUCAAGUGAUGAUUAUUGGAGGUAGAGCACUGUUUGGACGAGGGGCCCCUCUCGGGUUACCGAAUUCAGACAAACUCCGAAUGCCAAUUAAUUUAACUUGGGAGUCAGAACAUGGGUGAUAAGGUCCGUGUUCGAAAGGGAAACAGCCCAGACCACCAGCUAAGGUCCCAAAAUAUAUGUUAAGUGGAAAAGGAUGUGGCGUUGCCCAGACAACUAGGAUGUUGGCUUAGAAGCAGCCAUCAUUUAAAGAGUGCGUAAUAGCUCACUAGUCGAGUGACACUGCGCCGAAAAUGUACUGGGGCUAAACAUAUUACCGAAGCUGUGGAUUGUCCUUUGGACAAUGGUAGGAGAGCGUUCUAAGGGCGUUGAAGCAUGAUCGUAAGGACAUGUGGAGCGCUUAGAAGUGAGAAUGCCGGUGUGAGUAGCGAAAGACGGGUGAGAAUCCCGUCCACCGAUUGACUAAGGUUUCCAGAGGAAGGCUCGUCCGCUCUGGGUUAGUCGGGUCCUAAGCUGAGGCCGACAGGCGUAGGCGAUGGAUAACAGGUUGAUAUUCCUGUACCACCUAUAAUCGUUUUAAUCGAUGGGGGGACGCAGUAGGAUAGGCGAAGCGUGCGAUUGGAUUGCACGUCUAAGCAGUAAGGCUGAGUAUUAGGCAAAUCCGGUACUCGUUAAGGCUGAGCUGUGAUGGGGAGAAGACAUUGUGUCUUCGAGUCGUUGAUUUCACACUGCCGAGAAAAGCCUCUAGAUAGAAAAUAGGUGCCCGUACCGCAAACCGACACAGGUAGUCAAGAUGAGAAUUCUAAGGUGAGCGAGCGAACUCUCGUUAAGGAACUCGGCAAAAUGACCCCGUAACUUCGGGAGAAGGGGUGCUCUUUAGGGUUAACGCCCAGAAGAGCCGCAGUGAAUAGGCCCAAGCGACUGUUUAUCAAAAACACAGGUCUCUGCUAAACCGUAAGGUGAUGUAUAGGGGCUGACGCCUGCCCGGUGCUGGAAGGUUAAGAGGAGUGGUUAGCUUCUGCGAAGCUACGAAUCGAAGCCCCAGUAAACGGCGGCCGUAACUAUAACGGUCCUAAGGUAGCGAAAUUCCUUGUCGGGUAAGUUCCGACCCGCACGAAAGGCGUAACGAUUUGGGCACUGUCUCAACGAGAGACUCGGUGAAAUCAUAGUACCUGUGAAGAUGCAGGUUACCCGCGACAGGACGGAAAGACCCCGUGGAGCUUUACUGUAGCCUGAUAUUGAAAUUCGGCACAGCUUGUACAGGAUAGGUAGGAGCCUUUGAAACGUGAGCGCUAGCUUACGUGGAGGCGCUGGUGGGAUACUACCCUAGCUGUGUUGGCUUUCUAACCCGCACCACUUAUCGUGGUGGGAGACAGUGUCAGGCGGGCAGUUUGACUGGGGCGGUCGCCUCCUAAAAGGUAACGGAGGCGCUCAAAGGUUCCCUCAGAAUGGUUGGAAAUCAUUCAUAGAGUGUAAAGGCAUAAGGGAGCUUGACUGCGAGACCUACAAGUCGAGCAGGGUCGAAAGACGGACUUAGUGAUCCGGUGGUUCCGCAUGGAAGGGCCAUCGCUCAACGGAUAAAAGCUACCCCGGGGAUAACAGGCUUAUCUCCCCCAAGAGUUCACAUCGACGGGGAGGUUUGGCACCUCGAUGUCGGCUCAUCGCAUCCUGGGGCUGUAGUCGGUCCCAAGGGUUGGGCUGUUCGCCCAUUAAAGCGGUACGCGAGCUGGGUUCAGAACGUCGUGAGACAGUUCGGUCCCUAUCCGUCGUGGGCGUAGGAAAUUUGAGAGGAGCUGUCCUUAGUACGAGAGGACCGGGAUGGACAUACCUCUGGUGUACCAGUUGUCGUGCCAACGGCAUAGCUGGGUAGCUAUGUGUGGACGGGAUAAGUGCUGAAAGCAUCUAAGCAUGAAGCCCCCUCAAGAUGAGAUUUCCCAACUUCGGUUAUAAGAUCCCUCAAAGAUGAUGAGGUUAAUAGGUUCGAGGUGGAAGCAUGGUGACAUGUGGAGCUGACGAAUACUAAUCGAUCGAAGACUUAAUCAA